rnacentral:rRNA from 2 species
UACGUAGGUGGCAAGCGUUGUCCGGAAUUACUGGGUGUAAAGGGAGCGUAGGCGGGAAGGCAAGUUGAUUGUCUAAACUAUCGGCUCAACCGAUAGUCGCGAUCAAAACUACUUUUCUUGAGUGAAGUAGAGGUAAGCGGAAUUCCUAGUGUAGCGGUGAAAUGCGUAAAUAUUAGGAGGAACACCAGUGGCGAAGGCGGCUUACUGGGCUUUAACUGACGCUGAGGCUCGAAAGCGUGGGUAGCAAACAGG